rnacentral:rRNA from 1 species
UGAGGAAUAUUGGUCAAUGGGCGCAAGCCUGAACCAGCCAUCCCGCGUGAAGGAAGAAUGCGCUAUGCGUUGUAAACUUCUUUUCCAGGGGAAUAAAAUUUUGUACGUGUACGGAAUUGAAGGUACCCUGGGAAUAAGCAUCGGCUAACUCCGUGCCAGCAGCCGCGGUAAUACGGAGGAUGCGAGCGUUAUCCGGAUUUAUUGGGUUUAAAGGGUGCGUAGGCGGACCAAUAAGUCAGUGGUGAAAACCUGCAGCUUAACUGUAGAAUUGCCAUUGAUACUGUUGGUCUUGAGUAUGGUCAAGGUAGGCGGAAUGUGUAAUGUAGCGGUGAAAUGCUUAGAUAUUACACAGAACACCGAUUGCGAAGGCAGCUUGCUGGGCCAUUACUGACGCUGAUG